rnacentral:rRNA from 1 species
GACGAACGCUGGCGGCGUGCCUAAUACAUGCAAGUAGAACGCACAGUUUAUACCGUAGCUUGCUACACCAUAGACUGUGAGUUGCGAACGGGUGAGUAACGCGUAGGUAACCUGCCUGGUAGCGGGGGAUAACUAUUGGAAACGAUAGCUAAUACCGCAUAAUAUUGAUUAUUGCAUGAUAAUUGAUUGAAAGAUGCUAUUGCAUCACUACCAGAUGGACCUGCGUUGUAUUAGCUAGUAGGUGAGGUAACGGCUCACCUAGGCGACGAUACAUAGCCGACCUGGGAGGGUGGUCGGCCACACUGGGACUGAGACACGGCCCAGACUCCUACGGGAGGCAGCAGUAGGGAAUCUUCGGCAAUGGACGAAAGUCUGACCGAGCAACGCCGCGUGAGUGAAGAAGGUUUUCGGAUCGUAAAGCUCUGUUGUAAGAGAAGAACGGGUGUGAGAGUGGAAAGUUCACACUGUGACGGUAUCUUACCAGAAAGGGACGGCUAACUACGUG